UCAUGCAUAUUCAUGUUAUUUAUUCUUUAUUAUAAAUAUGAUGUGAAGACCUACUUUCUAAAUAUCUGUUGGUUUACUAUGCUGUUUUGACAUGAGUGUUGUACAGUAGCUACCAUGACCUUUAAUGUCUCUUGUAUGCAAUGCAUGGCUUAUUUGUAUGGAAUGCAUAGCAUAUCAGAAGACAAAGUGGCUGUGAGAAAAAAGUAACACAAAAGUACAGUAACACUUUACUUUCCAUAAAAAAAUAACUUUUUAAUUAAUUAAGUUACUAUUUUAAGGAGCAACACAAUAUUCUAACGAGUUACUUUUAAAAGUAACGUAAUCCAACAUUCUUGGAUUCUUAAACUUAAAGGAAAUGGUAGGGCUAAAGGCAAACCUUAAGGAAAAUUUGCUUUUUUCUGGUCAGAAAGUGUUUCAAGAUUGAAAAAUUCUUCAAAAAUUCUUUUUAUUGAAUAUUGAUGGAGCAACAUAAUUUUGUGAAGAGAAAUAACAAUGAGUUUUAUGGGGCCCUUUAGCCCCUGCAACAGGGGGCUUUUAACCCCAAAUACUAUCCUUUCAUGGACAGUUAUUACAUUUUUGUUUUAAUCACCUUGAACAAAACUGAAAAUGACAAAUAAGUAUUUUGUCUUAAUGUGAUAAUUUCAGGGAUUCUCAUUAGCUACAUAAAUUUUUAACAUUUUAAGCAUUAUUAAAUAUUAGAUAAAAUUACCUCAAAAUCAGACUUUAGACAUUGCAUGCUAUGACCUCAUAGAUCUAAAAAAAAAAAAAAAAAUUGCAGUGUAUAGUGGCAAACUGGAAGUAGGAAAGUACUGUGGUAGUUUUUGAUGCCAUUUAGUAUUUUGGGAGAAAAUAAAAUCAAAGGUGUCUUUUACCCCUGGGGCCUUUAGCCCAGUUGUACCCUAAUUAUAACUGAAAUGAAAAUGUGUUUUAACAUUAUUGUUGAAUAGCAUGGGUGUAAACAGAAAUAUAUGUGACUGUUUUAAGAAUAUGCAUGAUAGGGGCCUGGGUAGCUCAGCAAGUACUGACGCUGACUACCAACCCUGGAGUCACGAGUUCAAAUCCAGGGUGUGCUGAGUGACUCCAGCCAGGUCUCCUAAGCAACCAAAUUGGCCCGGUUGCUAGGGAGGGUAGAGUCACAUGGGGUAACCUCCUCAUGGUCACGAUUAGUGAUUCUUGCUCUCAAUGGGGUGCGUGGUAAGUUGUGCAUGUAUCACAGAGAGUAGCAUGAGCCUCCACAUGCAGAGUCUCCACGGUGUCAUGCACGACGAGCCACAGGAUAAGAUGCACGGAUUGACUGUCUCAGAAGCGGAGGCAACUGAGACUUGUCCUCCGCCACCCAGAUUGAGGUGAGUAACCGUGCCACCAUGAGGACCUACUAAGUAGUGGGAAUUGUAUAUUCCAAAUUGGGAGAAAAGGGGAUAAAAAAAAAAAAAAAGAAUAUGCAUGAUAAUAAAGGUCUAGAUCAACAUAGCCUGCCCAACCCGAUUAACUAAAAAAUAGUAUUACAAAAUAACAUAAUUUUACACCAAAGCAGUCACAUAUAAUAUAUUUCUGAUGUGUAAAUCGCUUUUAAAUAAAUAGAAGUAAAAUAAUGUAUUUCACCCAAAAGGGUCACCUCAGCCCUUGUGGGCAAAGGGGCAGUGGCUCUGGUCACGGCGGUCACCCCCGUGUGCGUCCCUGACUCUUUGAAACAUUUCCAAAUAAUACUGGGAUAACAUGGAUCAUCAAGUUUUGCACAAGAUUUUGGAGUUCAUGCCAGUGCAAGUGCAAGCUGCCAUUAAAGCAAGGGGGACAUAUCAAAUACAUGUAAAUGGGUUGUUGACAUGACAUGGUAUUUUCGCUGUCACACAAGAAAAAAAUAAUAAAUAGUACUGUCAUCAUUUAAAAAUGCAUUAAAUGAUUAAACAUUUCUUUGCUUUACAUCGACCUGUUAUUAUACAAACUGCAUUGUCAUUAGAUUUUUUAUUUUUUUGAGCCAAAUCUCAAAAUUGUCCUAUGGUGUGACUGUCUCAAGCAAGGUUCAAUAAAUUCUAACUUUUAUAAAUUAAAAAGAAAAGCAUAAAAAUGUUGAUAAAUACCACUGGCAUAAUUUUUCAAGUGUCUAUUUUAGUAAAUAGCAAUUUGUUUUUUUUUUUUCAUCCAUAUAUUUCUAAAAGUGUAGGAAGUUGAUACAUUUUGUCACUGAAAACCACAUCCUCUGGUGUGACACCAUAUCCUCAUUUUAAAUUGGGCAAUUCCACAGACGACUUUAUUUAGUUUCUAUAACCCCAUUCAAGGUCAUGUUUCUGAAGCCCCUUGUGAAGGCCAGGACAUGUGCACAUGAAAUAAUUGAGGGAGAAAAAUGAUUGGGAGAGAGAGAACACGAAAGUAUAGAGAGAAAAUGAACAGAGAGCCACGCAGAAGGGAGGAGAUCCUAAGAGAACGACGAAGAAAGUAUCAUGAAAAGAAGGCUGAGGGGAGAGCGGAAACCUUCAAUAUCAACUUGCUGCCAAAGAGGAAGCAGAAUGAACUGCGCAAAAAGUGGAGAGAAUCCAAAAAAAGAUGCAGGGCAAAAGAAAAGGCACUCAGUGCUAUUCUAAACACAACUCCAGAGUCUCCAGAAAGCAUACCGGAACAGGCAGUGGCUGAAUUACCAACAGAACCUCCAGUGGAGCCUCCUCAAGAAGUGUUAUCUCUUCAACCAGUGGUACACUGUAAUGUGGAAGGAGAUAAUCCUUCACCAUCAGAGGGCACACAAACAAAAAAAUAAAUUAAAAGCAAAGUAGCAAGACUACAGAUGGAAAAUAAAAUGGUGAAAAUUGAAGAACGAAAGACAAAAUGUAUCAGAAGAAAAAUGCAGCGACUAACUCAAAAUAAGGCAAAAAAGCAACUGAGUGAAUAAUUUUGUGUGCCACUAGAAAAAAAAACAGCCACUGAGAUGAGACAAGAAGUUGUGUCCUUCUUGUCAAAUGAUGAGAACAGUAGACUUCUGGCUGGGAAGAAAGAUACUGUUGGCAGGGUGAUCAAGAAGCAGUGACGAGUUCUCACGAAAUCUCUACGAGACCUCUACAGUGACUACUGUAAAGACUCCAGUAGGAAACAUUCAAUGUCUUACAGACAGUUUGUGAGAUAUAGGCCAUUUUACAUCACAGAGGCUAAAGUAACUGACCGCAACACAUGUGCUUGCUAUCAACAUGAAAAUAUGCGGCUCCUCAUUGAUAGCAUGGUGCACAGGGGCAUAAUUCAAUAUUGUUUGUAUGAAAUUAAACCUUCUUCUUUGACAUAAAUUCAGUUAAAUAAAAAUGCUUGAAUGUAAUACCUCUUACUUUCUCUUUAAUCCAACAACUACCAUUUCUGUCCUUUAGUGUGACAUAUUGUCCUAUGGUGUGACACAUAGCAUUAGUGUAGAUAUAAUCAUCACUCAUCUUAAACUGGUAUCAUUUUCAACAUUUUUGAAAGGAUGACAGCAAAGUUUGACUUGUAUCUAAUGAAAAAGUCCAACAAGUUCAACAGGUAAUGGGGGGGGGGGG